rnacentral:rRNA from 1 species
AGAGUUUGAUCAUGGCUCAGAUUGAACGCUGGCGGCAGGCCUAACACAUGCAAGUCGAGCGGUAACACAGAGGAGCUUGCUCCUUGGGUGACGAGCGGCGGACGGGUGAGUAAUGCCUGGGGAUCUGCCCGAUAGAGGGGGAUAACUACGGGAAACUGUAGCUAAUACCGCAUAAUGUCUACGGACCAAAGUGGGGGCUCUUCGGACCUCAUGCUAUCGGAUGAACCCAGGUGGGAUUAGCUAGUUGGUGAGGUAAUGGCUCACCAAGGCGACGAUCUCUAACUGGUUUGAGAGAAUGACCAGUCACACUGGAACUGAGACACGGUCCAGACUCCUACGGGAGGCAGCAGUGGGGAAUAUUGCACAAUGGGCGCAAGCCUGAUGCAGCCAUGCCGCGUGUGUGAAGAAGGCCUUCGGGUUGUAAAGCACUUUCAGCGGGGAGGAAGGGUCACUAGUUAAUACCUAGUGGCAUUGACGUUACUCGCAGAAGAAGCACCGGCUAACUCCGUGCCAGCAGCCGCGGUAAUACGGAGGGUGCAAGCGUUAAUCGGAAUUACUGGGCGUAAAGCGCACGCAGGCGGUUUGUUAAGUCAGAUGUGAAAUCCCCGAGCUCAACUUGGGAACUGCAUUUGAAACUGGCAAGCUAGAGUCUUGUAGAGGGGGGUAGAAUUCCAGGUGUAGCGGUGAAAUGCGUAGAGAUCUGGAGGAAUACCGGUGGCGAAGGCGGCCCCCUGGACAAAGACUGACGCUCAGGUGCGAAAGCGUGGGGAGCAAACAGGAUUAGAUACCCCGGUAGUCCAA